AGGCAGAAGGCAGAUAACAAGAAGCCGCUGGGUGGGCACCAUGGCCGGGAUCACCACCGUCAAGGCGGUGAAGCGCAAGAUCCAGGUUCUGCAGCAGCAAGCGGAUGAUGCCGAGGAGAGGGCUGAGCGCCUCCAGCGGGAAGUUGAGGGAGAAAGGCGGGCCCGGGAACAGGCUGAGGCUGAGGUAGCCUCCUUGAACCGAAGGAUCCAACUGGUUGAAGAGGAGCUGGACCGUGCUCAGGAGCGCCUUGCUACUACCCUGCAAAAGUUGGAGGAAGCAGAAAAAGCUGCUGAUGAGAGUGAGAGAGGUAUGAAGGUUAUUGAAAACCGGCCCUAAAAGAUGAAGAAAAGAUGGAACUCCAGGAAAUCCAACUCAAAGAAGCUAAGCACAUUGCAGAAGAAGAAGAUAGGAAGUAUGAAGAGGUGGCUCGUGAGUUAGUGAUUAUUGAAGGAGACUUGGAACGCACAGAGGAACGAGCUGAGCUGGCAGAGUCCCGUUGCCGAGAGAUGGAUGAGCAGAUCAGACUGAUGGACCAGAACCUGAAGUGUCUGAAUGCUGCUGAAGAAAAGUACUCUCAAAAAGAAGACAAAUAUGAGGAAGAAAUAAAGAUUCUCACUGAUAAACUCAAGGAGGCAGAGACCAGCGCUGAGUUUGCCCAGAGAUCGGUAGCCAAACUGGAAAAGACAAUUGAUGAUUUGGAAGAUAAGCUGAAAUGCACCAAAGAGGAGCACCUCUGUACACAAAGGAUGCUGGACCAGACUCUGCUUGACCUGAAUGAGAUGUAGAGCUCCCCAGUCCCGCCCUGCUGCUGCUCCUCCCUCUGACCCUGACUCCGCCUGAGGCCAGCCAGCCCGAAGCUGACCUUGAAACUCAGGGCUGAUCUUUAACUGGAAGGCUGCUUUCUCCUUUCAACACCCCCUCAACCCCCUACCCCCUUGUCUUUUUCACCAAACUGUCUCUGCUUCUUCCCAGAGAUUCCAGCUGGGCUAGAGGCUGAGCACCUUUGGGAACAGCAUUUAAGGGAAUGUGAGCACAACGCAAAGUGUCUUUAAAAGCAUGUUGUGAUGUACACAUUUUGUAAUUACUUUUUUUUGUUGUUACAGUAACCAUUUGUAAAACAUUCCAAAUAAUUCCAUAGCUCUGAAGCAGCAAUCUAAUUCCCUUCUCACUUUUGGAAGGUAACUUUCCAGCCUAAUCCCUAUUGCCCUCUCCAUAGAGGAGGAAAAGAGGAAUGGGCCUGCCUUACUGAGAGCCAAACAGAGUCCAGGAAAGACUCUACUAUGGCAAACCUCAUUGCUCUGUGCAAAGUACUAGCCAAACCAGAAAGGUGAUUCCAAGAGGAGUUAGCCAAAAAACAAAAACCUUGCUAUUCAGGUUUUGUUUUAUUUUUAGCUUUAAGGUAUCUUUAGACAACUGUAUUCUUAUUUUUUACUUUUUUUCAUCAGAAAUGACCAAAUUAACAUGGUGAGACCUCUGAGACUUUUUGUUUUUCUGGUGCUGGGGAUUGAACCCAGGGCCUCGUGCUUGUUCGGCAAAUGCUCUACCACUGAGCCAUAUUCUUAGCCCUGAGACCAAAUUUUUCUCCCAUCUCUACCCACUUCCCAAGUGUUCACAGAAUGGAUCAUGGGCCUCUUAAUCUUGCGUGACCACUUAAUUGCUCUCCUGCUUGCUUGAGAAAAAAAAAAAAAAAGAAAGAAAGAAAGAAAAUUAUGUUUUGGCCACUGA